GCCGAUCCUUCUCUUCCCCAAGCCCCUUGCGCGAUGCCACCCUUCCUUUCUCGCAAUCUCCCGCAACCCAGCCACUGGCCCUCCUCAAGCAAACGCCAAGACACCGUUGGCCCUCCUCCCGCGAGCAUCCGGACGCCGACGAUCUCUCCUCCUCUUCCUCCCUGAGCCGCAUGCCGCCCGGUCUCCUUUUUCUCUCCCAAGCCGCACCGCCGAGCCCUCCUUCACUCUCCCUCGCGAAUUCUCGCACCAGUAGCCGGCAAGAUUCUUCUCCUCCUCACAUGAACACCUCAGACGCCACCUCUGCCCUAGCUUCGGCCGCUUGAUCCACUGCCACCUCCGGCCACAACAAAAGCUAUCCAGCAAGUUCAUUCUCUAUGUAGUUGCGAGAUAUGUGAGGAUACUGGUUCGGGAUGAGCGUCUCGACGUGAGACUACUUGACAUGGUCUACGUAUAAAGACGGGUAACAGGUAGAUGAGUCACGGAUGCUUGGUGAGAUGCCGGCUGCCAGUCCUGGGUCCUGCGUUAUAUCAGUUUUAUCUCCGCUUUACUUGUAUUUUUAGUAUACAAUGGUUUUAAUAUUGUAUGAACUGGUCUGUGUUUGGAGUUUGAUUCAUGGUGUUUUGCUUUCGUGAUCUUAUGGUUGUGUAAGCCUAAUUGGCUAGUAAACUUUACUUGUGGAUUGUGGGUUUUCUCUUCGUUUGUUUUUCCGCUGUGUUUUUGACAUAGCCGUGUGUGCUAAAUAUUAACUGUGUGGUUGUUUUAUUAAUUCAUGUCCAGCCGGGUAGGCUGUGUAUAUUAAACUCUGUGGUUAUGUUAUUUUUAUUCUGUGUA